rnacentral:rRNA from 1 species
UACGUAGGGCGCAAGCGUUGUCCGGAAUUAUUGGGCGUAAAGAGCUCGUAGGUGGUUUGUUACGUCUGCUGUGAAAACCUAGGGCUUAACCCUGGGCCUGCAGUGGAUACGGGCAGACUAGAGGUAGGUAGGGGAGAAUGGAAUUCCCGGUGUAGCGGUGAAGUGCGCAGAUAUCGGGAGGAACACCGGUGGCGAAGGCGGUUCUCUGGGCCUUACCUGACACUGAGGAGCGAAAGCGUGGGGAGCGAACAGG